GAAAAAAAAAUAAUGUAACGGCAAGCCCAUCCCUCUGGGUGUCUCUUAGUGUUUCAUGCCAGAGCAAACUGACCUUGAACCAUUGCCUGGCCCCUGCUCCUGGGCUGUAGUAGGAAAUGGAAAGUGAAUCAUAACU
rnacentral:snoRNA from 1 species